CUAGCCGUAAACGAUGUCCGCUAGUUGCUUGAGAGUAAUCUUAGGUGACGAAGGUAACCCAUUAAGCGGACCGCCUGGGAAGUACGAUCGCAAGAUUGAAACUCAAAGGAAUUGGCGGGGAGGCGCACAACCAGUGGAGCAUGCGGUUUAAUUCGAUACAAAGCGAAGAACCUUACCUGGGUUUGACAUCCAGCCGUUUACUCUCUUGGAAACAGGAGAGGAUCCCCUCAAGGGCGGAAGCAAAUGGAAAUCCGAAAAAGCUUUUGCUUUUGAGGGGGAUGGCUGGACAGCUAC
rnacentral:rRNA from 1 species